rnacentral:rRNA from 1 species
UCCGUAGGGGGCAAGCGUUGUCCGGAUUUAUUGGGCGUAAAGAGCGUGUAGGCGGCCAUACAGGUCAGCUGUGAAAACUCGAGGCUCAACCUCGAGACGUCGGUUGAAAACGUAUGGCUAGAGUCCGGAAGAGGAGAGUGGAAUUCCCGGUGUAGCGGUGAAAUGCGCAGAUAUCGGGAAGAACACCCGUGGCGAAGGCGGCUCUCUGGGACGGUACUGACGCUGAGACGCGAAAGCGUGGGGAGCGAACAGG